GGCUGGAGUUUGGAUGAGGGACAGCAGCAGAGAGGGGGGGCUCUGGGCUCUGGGCUCUGGGCUCUGAGUGCCAGAGCCCUUGGGAGCCCCACGGG